rnacentral:lncRNA from 12 species
UGUAUUCUGAUCCCAAGAAUAAAAGCAGGGGAAAACCCACACCAAAUAUACUAGUAAAUAACAGGGAAGUUUCAGGGAAGUUUCAGGGAAGGAAAGUUUCAGGGAAGGGAAGUUUCAGGGAAGGGAAGGGAAGUUUCAGGGAAGGGAAAUUUCAGGGAAGGGAAGUUUCAGGGAAGUUGUUUCAGGGAAGUUUCAGGAACGGGGAAGGGGAAGGGAAGGGGAAAGGAAGAAAAAAUAAAAAAAGGAAAAAAAUACUGAG